rnacentral:tRNA from 13 species
GACAUUGCGGGCUUCAAAUCCGUGGCAAGCGUGCU